AACGCUAAGGCGGCGUGCCUUCACAUGCAAGUCGAGCGAUUGAAGUCCCUUCGGGGAUGGAUUAGCGUGCGGACGUGGUGAGUAACACGUGGGCAACCUGCCUCAAAGUGGGGGAUAGCCCUCCGAAAGGAGGAUUAAAUACCGCAUAACAUUGAAGUUUUCCGCAUGAUAAAACUAAUCAAAGGAGUAAUUUCCGCUUUGAGAUGGGCCCGCGGUGCAUUAGCUAGUUGGUGAGUGGUAACAGCUCACGCAAGGCCACGAUGCAUAGCCGACCUGAGAGGGUGAUCGGCCACAUUGGAAACUGAGACACGGUCCAGACUCCUACGGGAGGCAGCAGUGGGGAAUAUUGCGCAAUGGGGGAAACCCUGACGCAGCAACGCCGCGUGUGGUGAUGAAGGUCUUCGGAUUGUAAAACCCUGUCUUCUGGGACGAUAAUGACGGCCGUACCAGAGGAGGAAGCCACGGCUAACUACGUGCCAGCAGCCGCGGUAAUACGUAGGUGGCGAGCGUUGUCCGGAUUUACUGGGCGUAAAGGAUGCGUAGGCGGGCAUUUAAGUGAUGAGAUGUGAAAUCCCCGGGCUUAUCAAACUUGGGGGCUGCAUUUCAAACUGCAGGUGCCUAGAGUGCAGGGAGAGGUAAGUGGAAUUCCUAGUGUAGCGUGGUGAAAUGCGUAGAGAUUAGGAAGAACACCAGUGGCGAAGGCGACUUACUGGACUGUAACCCUGACGCGUGAGGGGCAUGAAAGCGUGGGUAGCAAACAGGAUUAGAUACCCUAGGUAGUCCACGCCGUAAACGAUGAAUACUAGGUGUAGGAGGUAUCGACCCCCCUUCUGUGCCGCAGUUUAAACAGC
rnacentral:rRNA from 1 species